AUUGGACGCUGGCGGAAUGCUUUACACAUGCAAGUCGAACGGCAGCACGGACUUCGGUCUGGUGGCGAGUGGCGAACGGGUGAGUAAUGUAUCGGAACGUGCCCAGUCGUGGGGGAUAACGUAGUGAAAAUUACGCUAAUACCGCAUACGAUCUAUGGAUGAAAGCGGGGGAUCGCAAGACCUCGCGCGAUUGGAGCGGCCGAUAUCAGAUUAGGUAGUUGGUGGGGUAAAGGCCCACCAAGCCAACGAUCUGUAGCUGGUCUGAGAGGACGACCAGCCACACUGGAACUGAGACACGGUCCAGACUCCUACGGGAGGCAGCAGUGGGGAAUCUUGGGCAAUGGGCGAAAGCCUGAUCCAGCCAUUCCGCGUGCAGGAUGAAGGCCCUCGGGUUGUAAACUGCUUUUGUACAGAACGAAAAGGUUUCUACUAAUACUAGGAGCUCAUGACGGUACUGUAAGAAUAAGCACCGGCUAACUACGUGCCAGCCGCCGCAGUAA
rnacentral:rRNA from 1 species